rnacentral:rRNA from 1 species
AUGAACGCUAGCUACAGGCUUAACACAUGCAAGUCGAGGGGCAGCAUGGUCUUAGCUUGCUAAGACUGAUGGCGACCGGCGCACGGGUGAGUAACACGUAUCCAACCUGCCGUCUACUCUUGGACAGCCUUCUGAAAGGAAGAUUAAUACAAGAUGGCAUCAUGAGUCCGCAUGUUCACAUGAUUAAAGGUAUUCCGGUAGACGAUGGGGAUGCGUUCCAUUAGAUAGUAGGCGGGGUAACGGCCCACCUAGUCUUCGAUGGAUAGGGGUUCUGAGAGGAAGGUCCCCCACAUUGGAACUGAGACACGGUCCAAACUCCUACGGGAGGCAGCAGUGAGGAAUAUUGGUCAAUGGGCGAGAGCCUGAACCAGCCAAGUAGCGUGAAGGAUGACUGCCCUAUGGGUUGUAAACUUCUUUUAUAAAGGAAUAAAGUCGGGUAUGGAUACCCGUUUGCAUGUACUUUAUGAAUAAGGAUCGGCUAACUCCGUGCCAGCAGCCGCGGUAAUACGGAGGAUCCGAGCGUUAUCCGGAUUUAUUGGGUUUAAAGGGAGCGUAGAUGGAUGUUUAAGUCAGUUGUGAAAGUUUGCGGCUCAACCGUAAAAUUGCAGUUGAUACUGGAUAUCUUGAGUGCAGUUGAGGCAGGCGGAAUUCGUGGUGUAGCGGUGAAAUGCUUAGAUAUCACGAAGAACUCCGAUUGCGAAGGCAGCCUGCUAAGCUGCAACUGACAUUGAGGCUCGAAAGUGUGGGUAUCAAACAGGAUUAGAUACCCUGGUAGUCCACACGGUAAACGAUGAAUACUCGCUGUUUGCGAUAUACGGCAAGCGGCCAAGCGAAAGCGUUAAGUAUUCCACCUGGGGAGUACGCCGGCAACGGUGAAACUCAAAGGAAUUGACGGGGGCCCGCACAAGCGGAGGAACAUGUGGUUUAAUUCGAUGAUACGCGAGGAACCUUACCCGGGCUUAAAUUGCAGAUGAAUUACGGUGAAAGCCGUAAGCCGCAAGGCAUCUGUGAAGGUGCUGCAUGGUUGUCGUCAGCUCGUGCCGUGAGGUGUCGGCUUAAGUGCCAUAACGAGCGCAACCCUUGUUGUCAGUUACUAACAGGUUCCGCUGAGGACUCUGACAAGACUGCCAUCGUAAGAUGUGAGGAAGGUGGGGAUGACGUCAAAUCAGCACGGCCCUUACGUCCGGGGCUACACACGUGUUACAAUGGGGGGUACAGAGGGCCGCUACCACGCGAGUGGAUGCCAAUCCCCAAAACCUCUCUCAGUUCGGACUGGAGUCUGCAACCCGACUCCACGAAGCUGGAUUCGCUAGUAAUCGCGCAUCAGCCACGGCGCGGUGAAUACGUUCCCGGGCCUUGUACACACCGCCCGUCAAGCCAUGGGAGCCGGGGGUACCUGAAGUGCGUAACCGCGAGGAGCGCCCUAGGGUAAAACUGGUGACUGGGGCU